rnacentral:rRNA from 1 species
GAGUUUGAUCUUGGCUCAGGAUGAACGCUAGCGACAGGCCUAACACAUGCAAGUCGAGGGGCAGCGGGAGCAAAGCUUGCUUUGCUUGCCGGCGACCGGCGCACGGGUGAGUAACACGUAUGGAACCUGCCCGCCACAGGGGGAUAACCGGGAGAAAUUCCGACUAAUACCCCGUAUGCUCACGGUAGCGCAUGCUACAGAGAGGAAACCACGAGGGGUGGCGGAUGGCCAUGCGGCGCAUUAGCUAGUUGGCGGGUAACGGCCCACCAAGGCGACGAUGCGUAGGGGUUCUGAGAGGAAGGUCCCCCCACAUUGGUACUGAGACACGGUCCAAACUCCUACGAGAGGCAGCAGUGAGGAAUAUUGGUCAAUGGGCGCAGGCCUGAACCAGCCAAGUAGCGUGAAGGAUGACUGCCCUA